UACCAGUAUCAACAACAUACUUUAUGCCUGGGAUAGUUAAAGAGGUUUCAGCAACAUUAGUGGCAACAACAACAAGUCGCUCCUCUUCCUUGACUCCUUCAAAAACCCGGAGCUGUNNNGCAGGAAGCAUGGCAUAAAGAGGCAGAACACACAAAGCACCAACAGAGACACUUUUAUCUCCUCCAUUCUUCUUCGCUACAAUGUGGUUGGAUUGCUCCAAGAGGUCCUCCGGCAUAGAUGGAUUAUGUUUUCCCUCAGAAUUAGGGUCUGAUGCAUUCUUUCCGGCCAACACUUCAAAAGCAGCCUUCAGAGCUGUAAGACUCCCCUCGCCUAAAACACCUAAAAGGUUACCAUCAUUUUCUGAGAUGCUCUGGUCCCCUGAAUCCCCAUCAUCACCAACAAUUUCUAUUUCGCUCUCUGUUUCGGAAUUAUAAGAGACAUCUGAUUCAUCCUCAUUAGGAUAUGGCAACUCUUUCUCAUAGGAACUAAAUCUAUCAGUUUGCUCGUUAGUUGAGUUACCCUGAAUCUCAAAGGCCUCAUUGAUGUCCUUCAUGUUAAUUUCCUCAAUAGAACUCAUUUCAGGUGUAGCAGA
rnacentral:misc_RNA from 1 species